GUUUAAGUAGCUCAGGGGUUAGAGCAUUGAACUGAAAAUUCAAGGGUCAGUGGUUCAAUUCCACUUUUAAACA
rnacentral:tRNA from 1 species